GAUGAACGCUAGCGGCGUGCCUAAUACAUGCAAGUCGAGCGAACGGACGAGAAGCUUGCUUCUCUGAUGUUAGCGGCGGACGGGUGAGUAACACGUGGAUAACCUACCUAUAAGACUGGGAUAACUUCGGGAAACCGGAUCUAAUACCGGAUAAUAUUUUGAACCGCAUGGUUCAAAAGUGAAAGACGGUCUUGCUGUCACUUAUAGAUGGAUCCGCGCUGCAUUAGCUAGUUGGUAAGGUAACGGCUUACCAAGGCAACGAUGCAUAGCCGACCUGAGAGGGUGAUCGGCCACACUGGAACUGAGACACGGUCCAGACUCCUACGGGAGGCAGCAGUAGGGAAUCUUCCGCAAUGGGCGAAAGCCUGACGGAGCAACGCCGCGUGAGUGAUGAAGGUCUUCGGAUCGUAAAACUCUGUUAUUAGGGAAGAACAUAUGUGUAAGUAACUGUGCACAUCUUGACGGUACCUAAUCAGAAAGCCACGGCUAACUACGUG
rnacentral:rRNA from 1 species